GACGAACGCUGGCGGCGUGCUUAACACAUGCAAGUCGAACGGAAAGGCCCUGCUUUUGUGGGGUGCUCGAGUGGCGAACGGGUGAGUAACACGUGAGUAACCUGCCCUUGACUUUGGGAUAACUUCAGGAAACUGGGGCUAAUACCGGAUAGGAGCUCCUGCUGCGUGGGGGGGGUUGGAAAGUUUCGGCGGUUGGGGAUGGACUCGCGGCUUAUCAGCUUGUUGGUGAGGUAGUGGCUUACCAAGGCUUUGACGGGUAGCCGGCCUGAGAGGGUGACCGGCCACCUUGGGACUGCGAUACGGCCCAGACUCCUACGGGACGCAGCAGUGGGGAAUAUUGCACAAUGGGCGGAAGCCUGAUGCAGCGACGCCGCGUGCGGGAUGACGGCCUUCGGGUUGUAAACCGCUUUCGCCUGUGACGAAGCGUGAGUGACGGUAAUGGGUAAAGAAGCACCGGCUAACUACGUG
rnacentral:rRNA from 1 species